GAUGAACGCUGGCGGCGUGCCUAAUACAUGCAAGUAGAACGCUGAAGGAGGAGCUUGCUCUUCUGGAUGAGUUGCGAACGGGUGAGUAACGCGUAGGUAACCUGCCUGGUAGCGGGGGAUAACUAUUGGAAACGAUAGCUAAUACCGCAUGACAACAGUUAUUGCAUGAUAACUGUUUAAAAGGGGCAACUGCUCCACUACCAGAUGGACCUGCGUUGUAUUAGCUAGUUGGUGAGGUAACGGCUCACCAAGGCGACGAUACAUAGCCGACCUGAGAGGGUGAUCGGCCACCCUGGGACUGAGACACGGCCCAGACUCCUACGGGAGGCAGCAGUAGGGAAUCUUCGGCAAUGGACGGAAGUCUGACCGAGCAACGCCGCGUGAGUGAAGAAGGUUUUCGGAUCGUAAAGCUCUGUUGUAAGAGAAGAACGAGUGUGAGAGUGGAAAGUUCACACUGUGACGGUAUCUUACCAGAAAGGGACGGCUAACUACGUG
rnacentral:rRNA from 1 species